AAGCAAUCCUCUUGCCUUGGCCUCCCAAAGUGCUGAGAUUGCAGGUGUGAGCAACUGUACCUGGUCUCCAUUUUGCUUCUAGUUACAGAUGUAAGACUGAAAUUCCUAAGGGACCAUUGCAAAGAGAGUAGAGAAGAGAGAGCAUAUAACUAUGCCUGCGAAUUCAAAGAAGCUCUCACAAAGGAGAGGACAGAUGAACUACUCUGAAAGUCAAGAGGGAAGGAGUUUGCUAAGUUUAUAUGUUUCAGGGAGUUAGAAGAGAGACUUCGAGUGUCUCUAGAAGAGGAAAGACAUGCUUGAAUGAGCCUACUGUGUUGAAAGAACAGUAUCAUUUUCUGUCAUCAGCAUGCAGGGAGCCUGUGGAUAGAUGAUGGGAAGAAAGCCUAGAAAGAAGGGCAGAAGUCAGGCCAUAUAGAUCAUAUGCCAUUCUUCCGUAGGCAGUGGAGAACCACUGGAGAAUCUAGGCCAGGUAAUAACAUGAGCAAAUGCGUGUUUUAGAAAGAUUACCCUAGAGGCAGUGGGGUGGGAGAUGAGCUGAAGGCUAAUUAGGAAGUAACUGUGGUGGUGCAGGGUAGGACUGAUGAGACGGGUGAAUGGCAUAGGUGUUUGGGAGACAGGAUCAACACCAAGUAGAGGAGAAGAGAUGUGGAAAUCUGGGAUGACAGUGAGGUGCCUGCCAUGAGGGACUUAGAAUGGCUGAUAACAUUCAUCAAAAGAGAGACUCCAGGAGGAACAGCAGACCUGGGAGGAAAUGUGAGUUUAUUCACCUUUGUGUGCCUCAAGCCUAGCCCAGUGCCCAAUACUUAGGAAAACAUCAAACCAUGCUGAUAGGAGUUUGGCUUGGGAUAUGUUUAAUUUGAAGUAUAUAUGUGACAUUUAGCUGUAGAUAUUUAGCCAAUCAUUAGCUUUGUGGUCCUGAGGCUUAGAACCAAAGUGCAGGCUCCAGAUACAACUGUAAAACAAGAGUGCAUGGCUUCAGACAUGGCCUUCAAGACACUGAGUGUAGGAAUAAGAAGAGAACACUAAAGACAGAGCCCUGGAAAAUAAGAAACAAGAAAGCACCAAGAGACAUCGAGUGUAAGUGUCAUUAAAAUCAGUAAAUGAGUUUCAAGAAAGAGUUAGAAGGAUCAUGUUGCAGAGAUGCCCAGUGAAAGUCUGUGUACAUUGGACUUGAUAAGUAGGUUUCAUUUGCCACUUAGUGAGAACAUUGUAUUUGAGCAGUGGUGGAGAAAACAAGAUUGCAGUGGGCUAAGAAGUGAAUGGCAGGUGAGAAAAUGGAAGAAGCAAGUAAAUCUCACUUUUCUAAGAAACUUGACCAUGAAGGAAAAUGUUAUUACAAAGUUGAGGGUGAAAACUGAGGCUCGGAGAGGGUAGAUAACUUGCCCGAAAUCUGGUAAGUGGUAAGAGUCAGUGGUGCAGGGGAAGCUGGCCUGCACUGGCUUGAGAGAGCUGAUUGUUACAUUUUCAGGAAUUGUGCAAGCCAUUACUAGAAAUUUAAACUAUACAAAUGUGUAAUUAAAUUACAUUAAAGACGAAGA